rnacentral:rRNA from 1 species
GGUUAAGCGACUAAGCGUACACGGUGGAUGCCCUGGCAGUCAGAGGCGAUGAAGGACGUGCUAAUCUGCGAUAAGCGUCGGUAAGGUGAUAUGAACCGUUAUAACCGGCGAUUUCCGAAUGGGGAAACCCAGUGUGUUUCGACACACUAUCAUUAACUGAAUCCAUAGGUUAAUGAGGCGAACCGGGGGAACUGAAACAUCUAAGUACCCCGAGGAAAAGAAAUCAACCGAGAUUCCCCCAGUAGCGGCGAGCGAACGGGGAGCAGCCCAGAGCCUGAAUCAGUGUGUGUGUUAGUGGAAGCGUCUGGAAAGGCGUGCGAUACAGGGUGACAGCCCCGUACACAAAAAUGCACAUGCUGUGAGCUCGAUGAGUAGGGCGGGACACGUGGUAUCCUGUCUGAAUAUGGGGGGACCAUCCUCCAAGGCUAAAUACUCCUGACUGACCGAUAGUGAACCAGUACCGUGAGGGAAAGGCGAAAAGAACCCCGGCGAGGGGAGUGAAAAAGAACCUGAAACCGUGUACGUACAAGCAGUGGGAGCACGCUUAGGCGUGUGACUGCGUACCUUUUGUAUAAUGGGUCAGCGACUUAUAUUCUGUAGCAAGGUUAACCGAAUAGGGGAGCCGAAGGGAAACCGAGUCUUAACUGGGCGUUAAGUUGCAGGGUAUAGACCCGAAACCCGGUGAUCUAGCCAUGGGCAGGUUGAAGGUUGGGUAACACUAACUGGAGGACCGAACCGACUAAUGUUGAAAAAUUAGCGGAUGACUUGUGGCUGGGGGUGAAAGGCCAAUCAAACCGGGAGAUAGCUGGUUCUCCCCGAAAGCUAUUUAGGUAGCGCCUCGUGAAUUCAUCUCCGGGGGUAGAGCACUGUUUCGGCAAGGGGGUCAUCCCGACUUACCAACCCGAUGCAAACUGCGAAUACCGGAGAAUGUUAUCACGGGAGACACACGGCGGGUGCUAACGUCCGUCGUGAAGAGGGAAACAACCCAGACCGCCAGCUAAGGUCCCAAAGUCAUGGUUAAGUGGGAAACGAUGUGGGAAGGCCCAGACAGCCAGGAUGUUGGCUUAGAAGCAGCCAUCAUUUAAAGAAAGCGUAAUAGCUCACUGGUCGAGUCGGCCUGCGCGGAAGAUGUAACGGGGCUAAACCAUGCACCGAAGCUGCGGCAGCGACACUAUGUGUUGUUGGGUAGGGGAGCGUUCUGUAAGCCUGUGAAGGUGUGCUGUGAGGCAUGCUGGAGGUAUCAGAAGUGCGAAUGCUGACAUAAGUAACGAUAAAGCGGGUGAAAAGCCCGCUCGCCGGAAGACCAAGGGUUCCUGUCCAACGUUAAUCGGGGCAGGGUGAGUCGACCCCUAAGGCGAGGCCGAAAGGCGUAGUCGAUGGGAAACAGGUUAAUAUUCCUGUACUUGGUGUUACUGCGAAGGGGGGGACGGAGAAGGCUAUGUUGGCCGGGCGACGGUUGUCCCGGUUUAAGCGUGUAGGCUGGUUUUCCAGGCAAAUCCGGAAAAUCAAGGCUGAGGCGUGAUGACGAGGCACUACGGUGCUGAAGCAACAAAUGCCCUGCUUCCAGGAAAAGCCUCUAAGCAUCAGGUAACAUCAAAUCGUACCCCAAACCGACACAGGUGGUCAGGUAGAGAAUACCAAGGCGCUUGAGAGAACUCGGGUGAAGGAACUAGGCAAAAUGGUGCCGUAACUUCGGGAGAAGGCACGCUGAUAUGUAGGUGAAGCGACUUGCUCGUGGAGCUGAAAUCAGUCGAAGAUACCAGCUGGCUGCAACUGUUUAUUAAAAACACAGCACUGUGCAAACACGAAAGUGGACGUAUACGGUGUGACGCCUGCCCGGUGCCGGAAGGUUAAUUGAUGGGGUUAGCCGCAAGGCGAAGCUCUUGAUCGAAGCCCCGGUAAACGGCGGCCGUAACUAUAACGGUCCUAAGGUAGCGAAAUUCCUUGUCGGGUAAGUUCCGACCUGCACGAAUGGCGUAAUGAUGGCCAGGCUGUCUCCACCCGAGACUCAGUGAAAUUGAACUCGCUGUGAAGAUGCAGUGUACCCGCGGCAAGACGGAAAGACCCCGUGAACCUUUACUAUAGCUUGACACUGAACAUUGAGCCUUGAUGUGUAGGAUAGGUGGGAGGCUUUGAAGUGUGGACGCCAGUCUGCAUGGAGCCGACCUUGAAAUACCACCCUUUAAUGUUUGAUGUUCUAACGUUGACCCGUAAUCCGGGUUGCGGACAGUGUCUGGUGGGUAGUUUGACUGGGGCGGUCUCCUCCUAAAGAGUAACGGAGGAGCACGAAGGUUGGCUAAUCCUGGUCGGACAUCAGGAGGUUAGUGCAAUGGCAUAAGCCAGCUUGACUGCGAGCGUGACGGCGCGAGCAGGUGCGAAAGCAGGUCAUAGUGAUCCGGUGGUUCUGAAUGGAAGGGCCAUCGCUCAACGGAUAAAAGGUACUCCGGGGAUAACAGGCUGAUACCGCCCAAGAGUUCAUAUCGACGGCGGUGUUUGGCACCUCGAUGUCGGCUCAUCACAUCCUGGGGCUGAAGUAGGUCCCAAGGGUAUGGCUGUUCGCCAUUUAAAGUGGUACGCGAGCUGGGUUUAGAACGUCGUGAGACAGUUCGGUCCCUAUCUGCCGUGGGCGCUGGAGAACUGAGGGGGGCUGCUCCUAGUACGAGAGGACCGGAGUGGACGCAUCACUGGUGUUCGGGUUGUCAUGCCAAUGGCACUGCCCGGUAGCUAAAUGCGGAAGAGAUAAGUGCUGAAAGCAUCUAAGCACGAAACUUGCCCCGAGAUGAGUUCUCCCUGACUCCUUGAGAGUCCUGAAGGAACGUUGAAGACGACGACGUUGAUAGGCCGGGUGUGUAAGCGCAGCGAUGCGUUGAGCUAACCGGUACUAAUGAACCGUGAGGCUUAACCUU